GGUUCCCUAGUAACUGCGAGUGAAGCGGGAAAAGCUCAAAUUUAAAAUCUGGCAGUGUUUCAUUGUCCGAGUUGUAAUCUAGAGAAGUGUUAUCCGCGUUGGACCGUGUACAAGUCUCCUGGGAUGGAGCAUCAUAGAGGGUGAGAAUCCCGUCUUUGACACGGACUACCAGUGCUUUGUGAUGCGCUCUCAAAGAGUCGAGUUGUUUGGGAAUGCAGCUCAAAAUGGGUGGUAAAUUCCAUCUAAAGCUAAAUAUUGGCGAGAGACCGAUAGCGAACAAGUACCGUGAGGGAAAGAUGAAAAGAACUUUGGAAAGAGAGUUAAACAGUACGUGAAAUUGCUGAAAGGGAAACGCUUGAAGUCAGUCGCGUUGUCCAGAAAUCAACCUUGCUUUUGCUAGGCGUACUUUCUGUUCAACGGGUCAGCAUCAAUUUUGACUGCUGGAAAAAGUUCAGAGGAAUGUGGCAUCUUCGGAUGUGUUAUAGCCUCGGUUCGUAUACAGCGAUUGGGAUUGAGGAACUCAGCACGCCGCAAGGCCGGGGUUUCGACCACGUUCGUGCUUAGGAUGCUGGCAUAAUGGCUUUAAUCGACCCGUCUUGAAACACGGACCAAGGGAGUCUAACAUGCCUGCGAGUGUUUGGGUGAAAAACCCGAGCGCGUAAUGAAAGUGAAAGUUGAGAUCCCUGUCAUGGG
rnacentral:rRNA from 1 species